UGCCGUUAAACACCCCACUUCUGAAAGUUGACCUCGGAUCAGGUAGGAAUA
rnacentral:rRNA from 1 species